UGGGGAAUCUUCCGCAAUGGACGAAAGUCUGACGGAGCAACGCCGCGUGAGUGAAGAAGGUUUUCGGAUCGUAAAACUCUGUCUUUUGGGGCGAACGUGAGUAUGGUGAACAAUCAUAGUCAGUGACGGUACCAAAGGAGGAAGCCACGGCUAACUACGUGCCAGCAGCCGCGGUAAUACGUAGGUGGCAAGCGUUGUCCGGAAUUAUUGGGCGUAAAGAGCGCGUAGGCAGGAUAGUCAGUCUGUUGUAAAAGUGCGGGGCUCAACCCCGUGAUGGCAAUGGAAACAGCUAUUCUUGAGUGCAGGAGAGGAAAGUGGAAUUCCCAGUGUAGCGGUGAAAUGCGUAGAUAUUGGGAGGAACACCAGUGGCGAAGGCGACUUUCUGGACUGUGUCUGACGCUGAGGCGCGAAAGCCAGGGGAGCGAACGGGAUUAGAUACCCCGGUAGUCCUGGCCGUAAACGAUGGGUACUAGGUGUGGGAGGUAUCGACCCCUUCCGUGCCGGAGUUAACGCAAUAAGUACCCCGCCUGGGGAGUACGGUCGCAAGACUGAAACUCAAAGGAAUUGAC
rnacentral:rRNA from 1 species